GCCCGGGUGACGGAAUUGGUAGACGUGCAGAACUCAAAAUUCUGUGGGUUUCGUGCCCAUGUGGGUUCAAAUCCCACCCCGGGCACAA
rnacentral:tRNA from 1 species